UUGCCUAGGCUGGAUUGCAGCGGUGCGAUCAGGACUCAUUGCAUCCUCAACCUCCCCGACUCAAGCAGUCCUCCCACCUCAGCCUCCUGAGUAGCAAGGCUACAGAGACCUGGGGGAUUUUAGAACAGGGCUUUCAAGGUAAUGAAGGAAGAGAAUCUUCUUUGGACUUCUUUUUGCUCCAGAUGCGGAGAAGGCAACUUCCCGGAGUCUCUACCAGUGAGAAGGCUACAGAAUCAUGGGCCGAUGGGGUCUCACUAUGUUGCCCAGGCUGGUCUCAAACUACAGUGGCUCAAACAAUCCUUCCAGUACUGCCUCCCGAGGUGCUGGGAUUAUAAGCGUGAGCCACAGCACCUGGCCACAGAGUACAUUUUAAAUGUCUUAAUAAAACGUGACAGAAAGUCUAGGUAGAAAGCAGCUAUCUUUGAUGACAGAAUGAUAAAGAAACCCACCUUUCUCCCAACAAUCCAUAAACACCCUGAGGAGAUGUCACCUUCUAUGUAAUAUCACUUGGAUACUGAAAAUUCUCCAUGAACUGGAAGAAUGUAUGCUUCAGUGUGGUAAACAGAAUUUCUAAAAUGACCUCUUCCUCCCUGAGAUAUCCUGACAUAAUACCCUAAAUUUGUAAA
ensembl:lncRNA LINC01376 long intergenic non-protein coding RNA 1376